rnacentral:lncRNA from 1 species
GCAAGAGAAAAUUCUCACUACUUCCGCCUGUUAUCUUUUGCUCCCAUUGUCAUCCGUCUCCUGUAGCUGCUGAGUGACAUGGAAUAUACAUGAAGUAUCACCAAGAAGAACAGGAGAGGAGGAAAAGGGAAAAACUGCACCCAGCAAACCUGCAGCCUUGUGCUUUUAAAAAAGGAUUAUAAAGGACUUCCACUUUGGGCCAAGAUGGAGUCACAGGGACCAGAAUUACACUGCUGACUGAAAUAACAAAAAAAGAAAUGGCCAAAAUGUAUGAAAGAAUGGCUUUCAAGACAUGGAUAUCAGGCAACAGAGGACAAUGAUCCCUGAAAGGUAAGUGAACAAGAUGAGUCUCUGAUUGCCCCAGCUUGCUGACCAUGGUGUAGGGAAGGGCUACCCAGACUGAGCCCAGCAGA